AUUGAACGCUGGCGGCAGGCCUAACACAUGCAAGUCGAGCGGAUGAAGGGAGCUUGCUCCUGGAUUCAGCGGCGGACGGGUGAGUAAUGCCUAGGAAUCUGCCUGGUAGUGGGGGAUAACGUCCGGAAACGGGCGCUAAUACCGCAUACGUCCUGAGGGAGAAAGUGGGGGAUCUUCGGACCUCACGCUAUCAGAUGAGCCUAGGUCGGAUUAGCUAGUUGGUGGGGUAAAGGCCUACCAAGGCGACGAUCCGUAACUGGUCUGAGAGGAUGGUCAGUCACACUGGAACUGAGACACGGUCCAGACUCCUACGGGAGGCAGCAGUGGGGAAUAUUGGGCAAUGGGCGAAAGCCUGAUCCAGCCAGGCCGCGUGUGUGAAGAAGGUCUUCGGAUUGUAAAGCACUUUAAGUGGGGAUGAAGGGCAGUAAGUUAAUACCUUGCUGUUUUGACGUUACCAACAGAAUAAGCACCGGCUAACUUCGUG
rnacentral:rRNA from 1 species